rnacentral:rRNA from 2 species
AGCAACACCGCGUGAGUGAAGAAGGGUUUCGGCUCGUAAAACUCUGUUGUUGAAGAAGAACGUGCGUGAGAGUAACUGUUCACGCAGUGACGGUAUUCAACCAGAAAGUCACGGCUAACUACGUGCCAGCAGCCGCGGUAAUACGUAGGUGGCAAGCGUUAUCCGGAUUUAUUGGGCGUAAAGCGAGCGCAGGCGGUUUUCUAAGUCUGAUGUGAAAGCCUUCGGCUUAACCGGAGAAGGGCAUCGGAAACUGGAUAACUUGAGUGCAAGAGAGGACAGUGGAACUCCAUGUGUAGCGGUGGAAUGCGUAGAUAUAUGGAAGAACACCAGUGGCGAAGGCGGCUGUCUAGCUUGCAACUGACGCUGAGGCUCGAAAGCAUGGGUAGCGAACAGGAUUAGAUACCCUGGUAGUCCAUGCCGUAAACGAUGAGUGCUAGGUGUUGGAGGGUUUCCGCCCUUCAGUGCCGGAGCUAACGCAUUAAGCACUCCGCCUGGGGAGUACGACCGCAAGGUUGAAACUCAAAGGAAUAGACGGGGGCCCGCACAAGCGGUGGAGCAUGUGGUGUAAUUCGAAGCUACGCGAAGAACCUUACCAGGUCUUGACAUCUUGCGCCAACCUCAGAGAUGAGGCGUUCCCUUCGGGGACGCAAUGACAGGUGGUGCAUGG